rnacentral:rRNA from 1 species
CAGCCCUAAACGAUGCGCGUUAGGUGUAUCGGUGACCACGAGUCACCGAGGUGCCGAAGGGAAACCGUGAAACGUGCCGCCUGGGAAGUACGGUCGCAAGGCUGAAACUUAAAGGAAUUGGGCGGGGGGGGCACAACAACGGGUGGAGCUUGCGGUUUAAUUGGAUUCAACGCCGGAAAUCUUACCGGGACCGACAGCAACAUGAAGGCCAAGCUGAAGACUUUGCCGGAUUAGCUGAGAGGAGGUGCAUGGCGUAGUCGUGU